UGGCCUGGCACACUGUGACUAUUGGCUUGCAGAGCUACUGAAGGACAAGAAAACAAAAAGUCCUGUUGGGUUUUCUCCAGAAGCUGCAGGGCCCCCAGAGUGCCUGCUCCCAGCAGGGCUCCCAGCAGGACACACACUGCAGGCUCCUGUGCACACUUGUGCUGUGCCACCACAGCCCUGCACACUGCUGCCCAGCCAGACCACUGCUGGACCCUCUCCCCUGAAAUUCAGGGGUGCUUUCAACCAGAAACAAGAUGCAGAGUUUCCUUCUAUCUUGCCCAGGACCAGCUUUUGAGGAGGUCUCUACAGAAGGACAAUCUUUGUCUACAGCCUUUGCAGCCAGUGCCUGGA